UGGGGAAUUGUUCGCAAUGGGCGCAAGCCUGACGACGCAACGCCGCGUGGAGGAUGAAGGUCUUCGGAUCGUAAACUCCUGUUGCCCGGGACGAAUAGCUUCGACCUAACACGUCGGAGUAUGACGGUACCGGGUGAGGAAGCCCCGGCUAACUCUGUGCCAGCAGCCGCGGUAAUACAGAGGGGGCAAGCGUUGUUCGGAAUUACUGGGCGUAAAGGGCGCGUAGGCGGCCUGUUAAGUCGAACGUGAAAUCCCUGGGCUCAACCCAGGAACUGCGUCCGAUACUGGCUGGCUUGAGGUUGGGAGAGGGAUGCGGAAUUCCAGGUGUAGCGGUGAAAUGCGUAGAUAUCUGGAGGAACACCGGUGGCGAAGGCGACAUCCUGGACCAAUUCUGACGCUGAGGAGCGAAAGC
rnacentral:rRNA from 1 species